AUACGGAGGGUGCAAGCGUUAUCCGGAUUCAUUGGGUUUAAAGGGUGCGCAGGCGGAAUGAUAAGUCAGUGGUGAAAUCCUACAGCUUAACUGUAGAACUGCCAUUGAUAAUGUCAUUCUUGAGUACACUUGAAGUGGGCGGAAUGUAUCAUGUAGCGGUGAAAUGCAUAGAUAUGAUACAGAACUCCGAUAGCGAAGGCAGCUCACUAAAUUGUAACUGACGCUCAGGCACGAAAGCGUGGGGAGCAAACAGGAUUAGAUACCCUGGUAGUCC
rnacentral:rRNA from 1 species